rnacentral:rRNA from 1 species
ACACUCCUGCGGGAGGCAGCAGUGGGGAAUUUUGGACAAUGGGCGAAAGCCUGAUCCAGCAAUGCCGCGUGAGUGAAGAAGGCCUUCGGGUUGUAAAGCUCUUUUGUCAGGGAAGAAACGGUGAAAGCUAAUAUCUUUUGCUAAUGACGGUACCUGAAGAAUAAGCACCGGCUAACUACGUGCCAGCAGCCGCGGUAAUACGUAGGGUGCAAGCGUUAAUCGGAAUUACUGGGCGUAAAGCGUGCGCAGGCGGUUUUGUAAGUCUGAUGUGAAAUCCCCGGGCUCAACCUGGGAAUUGCAUUGGAGACUGCAAGGCUAGAAUCUGGCAGAGGGGGGUAGAAUUCCACGUGUAGCAGUGAAAUGCGUAGAUAUGUGGAGGAACACCGAUGGCGAAGGCAGCCCCCUGGGUCAAGAUUGACGCUCAUGCACGAAAGCGUGGGGAGCAAACAGGAUUAGAAACCCUGGUAGUCCCAUG